rnacentral:rRNA from 1 species
CCUACGGGGGGCUGCAGUGGGGAAUAUUGGACAAUGGGGGCAACCCUGAUCCAGCCAUGCCGCGUGUGUGAAGAAGGCCCUCGGGUUGUAAAGCACUUUCAGUGAGGAAGAACGCCUGGUGGUUAAUACCCAUCAGGAAAGACAUCACUCACAGAAGAAGCACCGGCUAACUCCGUGCCAGCAGCCGCGGUAAUACGGAGGGUGCGAGCGUUAAUCGGAAUUACUGGGCGUAAAGCGCGCGUAGGUGGCUUGAUAAGCCGGUUGUGAAAGCCCCGGGCUCAACCUGGGAACGGCAUCCGGAACUGUCAAGCUAGUGUGCAGGAGAGGAAGGUAGAAUUCCCGGUGUAGCGGUGAAAUGCGUAGAGAUCGGGAGGAAUACCAGUGGCGAAGGCGGCCUUCUGGACUGACACUGCCCCUGAGGUGCGAAAGCGUGGGUAGCAAACAGGAUUAGAUACCCUGGUAGUC